AGAGAUCAUGGCUCAGGAUGAACGCUAGCGGCAGGCUUAAUACAUGCAAGUCGAGGGGGAUUAACUGGGUAGCAAUACUCGGUUAUGAGACCGGCAAACGGGUGCGGAACACGUACGCAACCUUCCCAAAACUGGUGAAUAGCCCUCCGAAAGGAGGAUUAAUACACCGUAACUUAAUGAAGUGGCAUCACUUUAUUAAUAUAGCUCCGGCGGUUUUGGAUGGGCGUGCGCCUGAUUAGGUAGUUGGCGGGGUAACGGCCCACCAAGCCUACGAUCAGUAACUGGUGUGAGAGCACGACCAGUCACACGGGCACUGAGACACGGGCCCGACUCCUACGGGAGGCAGCAGUAAGGAAUAUUGGUCAAUGGACGCAAGUCUGAACCAGCCAUGCCGCGUGAAGGAUGACGGCCCUCUGGGUUGUAAACUUCUUUUAUCUGGGACGAAAAAAGGUCAUUCUUGAUCACUUGACGGUACCAGAGGAAUAAGCACCGGCUAACUCCGUGCCAGCAGCCGCGGUAAUACGGAGGGUGCAAGCGUUAUCCGGAUUUACUGGGUUUAAAGGGUGCGUAGGUGGGUCUGUAAGUCAGUGGUGAAAUCUUCGAGCUUAACUCGGAAACUGCCAUUGAUACUAUAGGUCUUGAAUCAUCUGGAGGUGAGCGGAAUAUGUCAUGUAGCGGUGAAAUGCUUAGAUAUGACAUAGGACACCGAUUGCGAAGGCAGCUCACUACGGAUGUAUUGACACUGAAGCACGAAAGCGUGGGGAUCAAACAGGAUUAGAUACCCUGGUAGUCCACGCCCUAAACGAUGGAUACUCGACAUUUGCGAUAUACUGUAAGUGUCUGAGCGAAAGCAUUAAGUAUCCCACCUGGGAAGUACGAUCGCAAGAUUGAAACUCAA
rnacentral:rRNA from 1 species